rnacentral:RNase_MRP_RNA from 1 species
CGCGCCGUCUGAAGAACCGCUAUCGCAGCACACGUACAGGGAGUCUCUUGCUCUCUUCUUUGGCUGUGGGAAAAGUCUCCGGAGAUGCAGAAUGCGUCCUCGUCCAGCUUUGGGGAAAGCCACCGACUCUAAGCAGGAUGGGCCCGGAUGAGGAUUACGGGAAACAUCCGCUUGGUUCUAUCUCGACAAGAAACGUAGCUUGUUCUCGCUCUUCUGCUGCCCAACUUGCAUGCCAAUUCCUUGAUGAAGGCAUUGAAGUGCGAAGAUAUGAGCACUUCGAUUACUCGGGCCGUCGGUAUGUGAUUGUGCGAUUUGUUGCUCAUAGACAUAUUUAUGCGGUUGUGGAUCCCAUUUGGUCCAUCAACGGAAUGGGGCUUACUCUCGUUCGGCGC